rnacentral:rRNA from 1 species
UACGUAGGGGGCAAGCGUUAUCCGGAUUUACUGGGUGUAAAGGGAGCGUAGACGGAAUUGCAAGUCUGAUGUGAAAAUCCGGGGCCCAACCCCGUCCGGCCGUUGAAACUGGGGGCCUUGAGUGGGCGAGAAGAAGGCGGAAUGCGUGGUGUAGCGGUGAAAUGCAUAGAUAUCACGCAGAACCCCGAUUGCGAAGGCAGCCUUCCGGCGCCCUACUGACGCUGAGGCACGAAAGUGCGGGGAUCGAACAGG